CAUGUCUUUUCGAUUAUAAUUUAAAGUCUGACCUGCCCUAUGAGUUAUUAAAUGGCUGCGGUAUUUUGACCGUGCAAAGGUAGCAUAGUAAUUAGUUUUUUAAUUGGGAACUGGUAUGAAUGGUUUGACGAGAAAAAUACUGUCUCGGUUUAAUUUAAAUUAGAAUUUUAUUUUUAAGUAAAAAAGCUUAAAUUAACUUAAAAGACGAGAAGACCCUAUAGAAUUUUAUAUUUUUAUUAAUUUUUGAAAGUUAAAGAAUUUAAGAUUUAAUUAUUAGUAAAAUUAUUUGGUUGGGGCAACUAAAAAAUUUAAUAAACUUUUUUUAUGAUAAAAACAUUAAUAUAUGAUUAAGUGAUCCAUAAAUUAUGAUUAAAAGAUUAAAUUACCUUAGGGAUAACAGCGUAAUUUUUUUUAGAGUUCUUAUUGAAAAAAAAGUUUGCGACC
rnacentral:rRNA from 1 species